rnacentral:rRNA from 1 species
GAAAAGGAUUUAUUCGCUUCAGGAUGGACUCGCGUCCAAUUAGCUAGUUGGUGAGGUAACGGCCCACCAAGGCGACGAUUGGUAGCCGGACUGAGAGGUUGAACGGCCACAUUGGGACUGAGACACGGCCCAGACUCCUACGGGAGGCAGCAGUGGGGGAUAUUGCGCAAUGGGGGAAACCCUGAUGCAGCGACGCCGCGUGGAGGAAGAAGGUUUUCGGAUUGUAAACUCCUGUCGUUAGGGACGAUAAUGACGGUACCUAACAAGAAAGCACCGGCUAACUACGUGCCAGCAGCCGCGGUAAAACGUAGGGUGCAAGCGUUGUCCGGAAUUACUGGGUGUAAAGGGAGCGCAGGCGGACCGGCAAGUUGGAAGUGAAAACUAUGGGCUCAACCCAUAAAUUGCUUUCAAAACUGCUGGCCUUGAGUAGUGCAGAGGUAGGUGGAAUUCCCGGUGUAGCGGUGGAAUGCGUAGAUAUCGGGAGGAACACCAGUGGCGAAGGCGACCUACUGGGCACCAACUGACGCUGAGGCUCGAAAGCAUGGGUAGCAAACAGGAUUAGAUACCCUGGUAGUCCAUGCCGUAAACGAUGAUUACUAGGUGUUGGAGGAUUGACCCCUUCAGUGCC